GCAGAACAGCUGGCGGCGUGCUUAACACAUGCAAGUCGAGCGAGGCCCUUCCUUCGGGAAGGUGUCCUAGCGGCGAACGGGUGAGUAACACGUGGGCAACCUGCCCUCCGCUCUGGGAUAACUCCGGGAAACCGGGGCUAAUACCGGGAUAUGACCUCGGACGACAUCUUCUGAGGUGGAAAGAAUUUCGGCGGAGGAUGGGCCCGCGGCCUAUCAGCUUGUUGGUGGGGUAACGGCCCACCAAGGCGACGACGGGUAGCCGGCCUGAGAGGGCGACCGGCCACACUGGGACUGAGACACGGCCCAGACUCCUACGGGAGGCAGCAGUGGGGAAUAUUGCGCAAUGGGCGAAAGCCUGACGCAGCGACGCCGCGUGAGGGAUGACGGCCUUCGGGUUGUAAACCUCUUUCAGCAGGGACGAAGCGAAAGUGACGGUACCUGCAGAAGAAGCACCGGCCAACUACGUGCCAGCAGCCGCGGUAAUACGUAGGGUGCAAGCGUUGUCCGGAAUUAUUGGGCGUAAAGAGCUCGUAGGCGGUCUGUCGCGUCGGCUGUGAAAACCCGGGGCUCAACCCCGGGCCUGCAGUCGAUACGGGCAGACUAGAGUGCGGUAGGGGAGACUGGAAUUCCUGGUGUAGCGGUGAAAUGCGCAGAUAUCAGGAGGAACACCGGUGGCGAAGGCGGGUCUCUGGGCCGUAACUGACGCUGAGGAGCGAAAGCGUGGGGAGCGAACAGGAUUAGAUACCCUGGUAGUCCACGCCGUAAACGUUGGGCGCUAGGUGUCGGGGACCUU
rnacentral:rRNA from 1 species